GGUUGAUACGUUCGUGUGAAGGGUAAAAAGCGGCCAUCGCCGCAAAAAUAUCUUAAUACACAGUUUCCUAUUAUGAGAUGUAGCAGCAGCCGGAGCGGAUAAUAGAAGAGAAGAGAAGAGAAGAGAAGAAAGAAGAAAAUGGUGGCGCCCACUUUCAUUCAACCUCGCCUAAUCUCCACCUUCCUUGGGGACUGCCGCUUUCUUCCCUCCCAUUCCGCUCAUUCAAUCCAUCAUCUCUUCCGUUUCAAUCCAGGAAGAGACCACGUGUCAAUGAAAAUGUCAAGGAAGUUCUCUGGAUUAACCAAUUUAUUAUUUAACAGAAGAAGUACUGAAGAAGUCGCUGAUAGCAAGAGGCAACGUUUAAAACCUGGUAAAGUAUCUCCCAUUCGGCUAGUUCCCAGUCACAUAAUAAAACCUCCUUAUGUGAAAUCUAGAAAACCGCCUGGCAUUGCUAGUGGGCCUGAAAUUCACGACGAGAAAGGGAUAGCAUGCAUGAGAGCUUCAGGGAGGCUUGCUGCACAAGUUCUUCUGCAUGCUGGAACUUUAGUGAAGCCAGGCAUCACAACAGAUGAAAUUGACCAAGCAGUUCAUCAAAUGAUCAUUGACAAUGGAGCAUAUCCAUCUCCUCUUGGUUAUGGUGGGUUUCCAAAGAGUGUAUGCACAUCGGUGAAUGAGUGCAUUUGCCAUGGGAUUCCAGAUUCACGGGCCCUUGAGGAUGGUGACAUUAUCAACAUUGAUGUUACAGUUUAUCUAAAUGGUUAUCAUGGUGAUACAUCUGCAACAUUUUUUGUUGGAGCAGUCAAUGAGGAGGCCAAAAGCUUAGUUAAGGUAACCAAAGAAUGCCUCGACAAAGCAAUAUCAAUAUGUGCACCAGGAGUCGAAUUUAAACAAAUUGGCAAGACAAUACAUGACCAUGCAGAUGAACACCGUUAUGGAGUUGUCCAGCAGUUCGUUGGCCAUGGAGUUGGAAGGGUUUUCCACAGUGCUCCAGUGGUUCUUCAUUACAUUUAUGUGGAUUGCAACAGGACUUGAAAAAUAUUUUAUAAGGAUGUCAUUAUGCUUUGCAACGAAUGGACUAUGUUGAUAUUUUGUUGCAUUUGGUCGCAUUCUUCUCAGUCCAGCUUGUAUGAUGCUUGGGUCUACUAGUGAACAUUAAGGAACAUAUGAAAGGGUAAUUACUCCGAAAUCUAUCCAUCCAGUUUCUAGAAUUUUUCUGAUUAAGUAACAUAUGAAUAGGUAAUUAACGGCUCUCCGACAAAAUUGGGUGAUCAGUUGUUAAAAGAGAUAUAUGAACCGUCUGGGACGGAUAGAUUUCGGAGUGAUACACGCCAUGUCUCAAGAGUUCAGAGAAAAUGUGGCAUUGAAAUAAUGAUCGUGGACGUAUGGUUCUCAACCAAACUUUCACCAUCG